AACUAAAUAUUUAAUUAUCAUACUAAAUAUUCAUCUUCAUUCUAAAUGUUUCCCAGCAGACUGACUAAAGACAUGUCUCCCUCUUCCUCGUCUAUCAGACCUUCUCUGCUCCUGCAGCAGGUUCCUCCAUACCUGAGAGCUUCCAGUCUCCAGUGUGGAUCCUUCAGUCCAGCCGAC